rnacentral:rRNA from 1 species
UACGAAGGGGGCGAGCGUUGUUCGGAAUCACUGGGCGUAAAGGGCGCGUAGGCGGCCCUUCUUGUCGCGUGUGAAAGCCCCGGGCUCAACCUGGGAAUGGCGCGCGAGACGGGGGGGCUGGAGUUCGGGAGAGGAGCGUGGAAUUCCCAGUGUAGAGGUGAAAUUCGUAGAUAUUGGGAAGAACACCGGUGGCGAAGGCGGCGCUCUGGACCGAGACUGACGCUGAGGCACGAAAGCGUGGGGAGCAAACGGG